AGUAAUGUAUGGGAUCUGCCGAUAGGGGGGAUAACUACUGGAAACGGUGGCUAAUACCGCAUAAUGUCUACGGACCAAAGCAGGGGCUCUUCGGACCUUGCACUAUCGGAUGAACCCAUAUGGGAUUAGCUAGUAGGUGGGGUAAAGGCUCACCUAGGCGACGAUCUCUAGCUGGUCUGAGAGGAUGAUCAGCCACACUGGGACUGAGACACGGCCCAG
rnacentral:rRNA from 1 species